GUGGAUUAGAUACCCUGGUAGUCCACGCCGUAAACGGUGGGUACUAGGUGUGGGUUUCCUUCCUUGGGAUCCGUGCCGUAGCUAACGCAUUAAGUACCCCGCCUGGGGAGUACGGCCGCAAGGCUAAAACUCAAAGGAAUUGACGGGGGCCCGCACAAGCGGCGGAGCAUGUGGAUUAAUUCGAUGCAACGCGAAGAACCUUACCUGGGUUUGACAUGCACAGGAUGACUGCAGAGAUGUGGUUUCCCUUGUGGCCUGUGUGCAGGUGGUGCACGGCUGUCGCCAACU
rnacentral:rRNA from 1 species